ACUCAUAACAGUAGACACAGUUAUACAGUAG
rnacentral:piRNA from 1 species